ACCUCAUGAGAACGAUGGGACUCUGGGCUUCUCAGCUCACAUGCCAUAGAGCAGCAGGAGGACCCUGGUCAUGGCUCCCCCACCUCGGACCCUUGUGACAUGCUACCACCUUGUGAAGAGGUCUGUCGGAUAACACACAAGUAUUUGCAGCUUUUGUCUUCCUUUCCAUGGCCUUUGAUUCUUCGGGCAGAAUGUCCCUCCUGGAUUACAUUGUUCAAAUUUCACACAGACCUUUGCUCCUCUCUCUAAGGCUCAGCCAGAAACCAAGAAGGAUAUAUAGUCUUGGUGUCACGAAAAGCAACCCAAAAUGCGUCUAUGGCACCAACUGCCCAGGGUUCUGCUUCUGUCCCGCGGCGCCAGCGGCCCCUAGCGGAGAUGCGCGGUAUUACUGAGCACCGGUGGAUGCCCACCCCCACCCCUACACAUUCACCUGCUCACCUCCCCGCACUCCUACAAGAGAGGUACUACGCUUAUUCCUGUUUGAGAGAGAAGACCCUUGAGACGCAGGAAGGAAGCAUCUUGCCCAGUGUGGUACAGCUGGUAGGGCAGAGCCGGAACUGCCCACUCCACCGAAGCACACCCCGGAACCACAGCUGCGCCCAGGCUGGUACCUGGGAGAAGAGAAUCCACAGCAGGAGAGCAACAGGGGUGCCAACAAAACUGUUUCCAGGGGAACUCCUUAGCAGAAAGAGCAAGGCAGACUCCGGACCUGGAGACCUCAGCCAACACACGCAUUACAUGUUUCUGACAAGGUAG
rnacentral:lncRNA from 1 species